AAUAUGGGCAGGUUAAAUUGAUUAAAUUAUUUGUAUUAUUUCAAGGUAAAAAUAAAUUCAACUAGGUUUAUUUUUUAAUUCGGUUCAAUUUGGACUGAGUUUUCUUUAAAAAAUUGGUUUUAUAAUUUGGUUUGGACUGUAAAUUAUGAAACCGAAAAAACUCGAAUAAAAACGAAAAAAAUAAAAUAAAAUAAAAAUUACCCCUUACAAGAUUUUAUCUAUACCCAAAUAAUAAACUCAAAGUCUCAAACAUUCACCAAAAGCCCUAAAUAGCUCUCAGCCCCCAACCCCCCUCAUUUCAUAUUCUAAUCUCUAACCCUAACCCUAACCCUAACCCUAACAGUCUCUCUCUGCUCUCUCGGCCUCACGUUCUCAUUCUACUCUUACUGUUAACUGAAUUAAUGCUAUCACUCUCUCAAUCCGGUACAGAUGAAGAACUAUGAGCCGUUGGUGUUGGGGGCCAGAAUUGUCCACGGAAAGGAUUCAGGACCAGUGUGCUUCCUUACGAAGUUCUCAUCGGCGAACUUCCGAUGAGAACUUCUUACCGUAGAUUGACUCGCCGCCAGUGUCAUUUCCAUGCGGUGAAAUCACCUCCUUGGCUCAUGAAUCCGGGAUCACACGGUGGAAGGCGGAGCCCUUGGAGUGGGGUGACUUUCCCCUGCGGCCGUUGCCCUUCUAUCCGGUGCCGAGUGCGGGGAAUUUCUCGGCGGUUUUGGGAACAACACCGGCGUACAACUCCAUGACGAUUCUUCCGGCAGGUUGGUCGCCAACAGCCAUGUCAAAGAAGACCUUUGGGUUCGCCGCUUCACGGAUCCACCUCGCCUCAAUCUCUUGGUAGUCUCCUUCAGCCCUUCUCCUAUUAUCCUUCCCGGCUUCAUCAAAGUGAUUUAUUAGAUCGAGCUAUCAAGGAUUCGAGAUUUCGAGCUGCUGCUUGUUGAGUUGCUGACGUGCUGCUGGAUGCUUGCUUAGUUGCUGGACGUGCUGCUUGCUGAGUUGCUGCUGGCUGCUGCUGUUAAUUGAAUUACAGAGAUUCAGAAUUUUAGACCUGUUGUUAUUCCUGCAAUGUUGUUAUUCGACUUUGAUAAAUAAAUUUAAGACUUUAAUCUUUGGUGUAUUAAUUUGUAAGAAUUAAUUCAAAGUUGGAUUAAUUUGUUUUUGAAGACUUGAAGUCUAAUUUUAAUUACAGUUCUUAGUUUAAUGGUUAA